UAGAGUUUAGUUAAGUAUUAACAUUAAUUUGUCAUAUUAAAAUCACUAACAUAUUAGUAAUUCUUA
rnacentral:tRNA from 1 species